GUGUCAGCAGCCGCGGUAAUACGGAGGGUGCGAGCGUUGUCCGGAAUCACUGGGCGUAAAGGGCGCGUAGGUGGCUUAGAAAGCGUGUGGUGAAAGCCCGGGGCUUAACCCCGGGUCUGCCGUGCGAACUACUAUGGCUAGAGGACUGUAGAGGCAAGUUGAAUUCCGGGUGUAGCGGUGGAAUGCGUAGAGAUCCGGAAGAAUACCGGUGGCGAAGGCGGCUUGCUGGGCAGUUUCUGACACUGAGGCGCGACAGCGUGGGGAGCAAACAGGAUUAGAUACCCUCGUAGUCC
rnacentral:rRNA from 1 species